CUGGCAGUGACGGAAACUGAAGUCUUCUUUUUUUUUUUGUAUCCAUAGGCUGGGUACAGUUCUGGGCAGCUCCAGUGUGAGCUUCUCCAUGCUGCCUCAUCAAUGACCUGGAGGGACCUCCCUCUCAGAGUGAGAGGUUGUUCGGUCUCCAUACUAGCUCACCCCUUGUCCUUU
rnacentral:sRNA from 1 species